AAGCAUUGGUUGAGCUACCCAAGGCAGUGUGGGAGAUGUUUCUUUCUGCUGGUCUCCUCCAUGCUAUGAGCAACCAAAAUCACCAGAAAUUAUCUUUCUUUUUCACAGCACUCUUCAGUGCCUAUCUGGGAGCGACAGUGACAAACAUGUUCUCUGUGUUUGGGGUGCCUCCAGGAACCUGGUCGUUCUGUUUGUCUGCACUGACCUUUCUGUUAAUGACCACAAACCACUCAGCCAUCUACAAGCUUCCACUCUCCAAAGUCACCUAUCCAGAAGCCAAUCGAGCGUAUUAUCUGAGGAUGAAGAAACAUCACAUGUCUUGCUGUGACGUAUAAAGACCCAAGAAGAGAGAUCCUUCACAAAUUGUAAGGCAAGAGCACAAGGUUCCCUCCAAAAAAAUAAAAAAACAAACAACAAAAAAAGAGUUAUUUAUGGGCUGUAAAGUAAAAAGACCAAAAACCCCCAUCAUCUUUGAAUAGAGACGUUUUCCACCACAAUUUUUUGUUCUAUCCUGAUUAGAGAAAGUCGUGCUGUGCUCGAAGGAUCUUUCCCAAGACCAACCUGUCACAACUCAAAAACACAUAUGCCUGAAAAGACACUUGUUUUAAAAAGCGGGGAAAUGACUUAAAGGUGGCAAAGAAAAUUAUAUUUGUGAAAUCUGAGUCAUUGUAAUCAGAUGUAAAGCAAUAAAGAGCAGAGCAUACCUCA